rnacentral:rRNA from 1 species
CCUACGGGUGGCAGCAGUGAGGAAUAUUGGUCAAUGGGCGAGAGCCUGAACCAGCCAAGUCGCGUGAGGGAGUACUGCCCUAUGGGUUGUAAACCUCUUUUGUCGGGGAGCAAAAGCCGGACGUGUCCGGCUGUGAGAGUACCCGAAGAAAAAGCAUCGGCUAACUCCGUGCCAGCAGCCGCGGUAAUACGGAGGAUGCGAGGGUUAUCCGGAUUUAUUGGGUUUAAAGGGUGCGCAGGCGGAUUUUUAAGUCAGCGGUAAAAUCGUGGGGCUCAACCCCAUCCAGCCGUUGAAACUGGGGAUCUAGAGUGUGCGAGAGGUAUGCGGAAUGCGUGGUGUAGCGGUGAAAUGCAUAGAUAUCACGCAGAACCCCGAUUGCGAAGGCAGCAUACCGGUGCACAACUGACGCUCAGGCACGAAAGCGUGGGUAUCGAACAGGAUUAGAUACCCUAGUAGUC